GUGGGCUGCACGUAGUAGUAGGCACCUCCAGUGUCGUAGGAGUCGUCGUCGACGGUGGCGUCUGGCUCCUGGACUCCAGCAUCUAGUUGCGACAACCAGGUAGAAAGGAAAGGGGGAAAAGAGGGAGAGAAGCAACCGUGAGUACUCAUCCAAAGUACUCGCAAGCAAGGAGCUACACUACAUAUGCAUGGGUAUAUGUGUAAAGGGCCAUAUCAGUGGACUGAACUGCAGAAUGCCAGAAUAAGAGGGGGAUAGCUAGUCCUGUCGAAGACUACGCUUCUGGCCAUCUCCAUCUUGCGGCAUGUAGAAGAGAGUAGAUUGAAGUCCUCCAAGUAGCAUCGCAUAGCAUAAUCCUACCCGGCGAUCCCCUCCUCGUUGCCCUGUUAGAGAGCGAUCACCGGGUUGUAUCUGGCACUUGGAAGGGUGUAUUUUAUUAAGUAUCCGGUUCUAGUUGUCAUAAGGUCAAGGUACAACUCCGGGUCGUCCUUUUACCGAGGGACACGGCUAUUCGAAUAGAUAAACUUCCCUGCAGGGGUGCACCACAUAACCCAACACGCUCGAUCCCAUUUGGCCGGACACACUUUUCUGGGUCAUGCCCGGCCUCGGAAGAUCAACACGUCGCAGCCCCACCUAGGCUCAACAGAGAGGUCAGCACGCCGCUCUAAACCCUAUGCGCGCAGGGGUCUGGGCCCAUCGCCCAUUGCACACCUACACGUUGCGUACACGGCCGGAAGCAGACCUAGCCCCUUAAUACAAGCGUGAGCUUACGGUCCAAUGCGGCGCGCACCACUCAGUCGCUGACGUCAAAAAGAGCUUCGGCUGAUACCAUGACGUCGAGUGCCCAUAACUGUUCCCGCGUAGCUGGUUAGUGCGUAUAGACCAAAUGGCCAGACUCAGAUCAAAUACCAAGAACUCGUUAAGCGUGUUAAUUUUAAAGUAACCGCGGACGCCGUCUAGGGCCAGUCCCACCUCUCACCUAGGCGGUCUCAACCUGCCCUGUCGCUCCGCCACAAAGAUCCACUUGCGGGUACUCCUACGAGCCGACCCGACUUUAGUCACCACAGGUGUCAUGUAUAGAGUAUAUAAAUAUAUACCCGUGAUCACCGCCCAAGUGAUCACGGCCCGAUAGUAUAGCACAGCAGACGGACAAGAAUGUAGGGCCACUGAUGGAAAACUAGCAUCCUAUAUUAAGCAUGUAGGAUUGCAGGUAAAGGUAACAACAGUAGAAGCAAGGACAGGCUAUGCAUCAGGAUAGGAUUAACGGAAAGCAGUAACAUGCUACACUACUCUAAUGCAAGCAGUAUAGAGAAGAAUAGGCGAUAUCUGGUGAUCAAGGGGGGGCUUGCCUGGUUGCUCUGGCAAGUAGGAGGGGUCGUCAACUCCGUAGUCAAACUGGGCAGCAGCAGCAGCAUCAGUCUCGUAGUCUACCGAAGAGAAGGGGGGAAGAAACAGUAAAUACAAUGCAAACAUAAGCAUGACGAUGCGUGACAUGACAAUGAGCGAUGCUAGGUGUGCCCUAACGCGGCAGUAGGUGGUACCGGCGAAGGGGGGACAUCCGGGAAAGUAUUCCCGAUGUUUCGCAUUUUCGGACAGAUGAAAUGGAGGGGGAAAGUUACGAGUUCGAUAUGUUAGAGAUGUGUGGUGGGCGAACGGGCUGCGUAUCCGGAUUCGUCUCGUCGUUCUGAGCAACUUUCAUGUAUAAACCUUUUUCAUCCGAGUUACGGAUUAUUUUCUAUGAAUUUCUAAAGUUUUAUCAAUAUUCUAGAUUUUUUAAAAUUACUUUUAAUGCGAGUUGACCAAGUCAAAAUGACUAGUCAAAAGGAGAGCUAUGGCGCACAUGUCAUGGACUAUUUACCUGAACAAUUAAAUAAACCUAACUUAUUUAAUGGGGCCGGCCAUGGCAAGCAGCAGCAGUACCAGGCGGCAGCGGCUGCACUAGGAGCAGAAAGCGGGCGCCCGCAACAGCAGCAACUAAGCAGCGCGCCACGGGAGGCAGUAGCAGCUGCAAGACAAGCAGCGGCAGCAGUUUUAGCAGCAGCAACAACAUCAGGCAAGGAGCAGCGGCAUGUGCAGCCGCAGGAGCAGCAGCAAGCAGUAGAGCAAUGGCAAUGCAGCAACCAAGCAUCAGCAGAGUAGCGGCAAAGUAGCAGCCGAGCAGCAGGGACCGCGACCUCACGUAGGCAGGCGCGGGCGAUGCAGGAGCGGUGCGUACGGGGCGUGGCAGUGGGGCGGGGUGAGCGGGCGCGGGCGCGAGCGCCGGCCAUGGCGGCCGAAGCACUGGGACGGCGAUACGGCGACGAAGCAAAGGGUAGUAGGGGGAAUGGAGGAGCAGCUCACGGGGAGGUCGUAGGCGAGCUCGAGAUGGCCGGGGAGGCCCGGUGGUGGAGAUCGAUGGCGGGGACGUGCGGCGACCGUGGCAGGAAGAAGAGGCGAUGGCGAGGCUACGCGGCGUCCUAGCUUGGGC
rnacentral:lncRNA from 1 species